CUAAAAACAGUAACAAAACUCCUUCGGAUACUGCUUUAAAUACGUGCCUAAAUUAAAACACACCACAAGGAUUCUCCACUUAAUGGCAUUCCUGAGUUCACAAAGGUGCUAUGGAAAAAUAAAUGAGCAGAAGUAUUGCCCUCUAUUUCGCUAGCGUAUUUCAAUAGAAAUCAACCUGUUUAGUAGUCACAGAAGCAAGGAGCUGAUUGCUGGAGGCUGGAAGGACAUUCUACCCGUGGCUCAGAAGUUCUGCUGCCGCCGCUUCUUGGCUUCGAUGGCAUCGAGGAUGGGCUGCCGCUUGGACUGGUACUUCUGGCGGAUCUCCUCAAUCUCCUGCUCCAUCAUGGGGUCCAGCGCCGACAGCCUCCUCUGCAGCUCAUCCACGCUCCACGUCUUCAGAAACUCGUAGUCUCCAUCCUGUGGCACUUUCCAAUCAGAUGAGUUUUUUGUCUGGCCAGACACAUUCUUCCCAAAGCUAUUGACUUGAUUCUCCUUCGCUUUCUGCUCAAAAUAUUCCAGGAAUGAUGGCCUGGCUGGCUGCAUCGUUUCAUCCCUCCUUUUCAUGGUGCCCUCCUCCUCUUCAUCUUCAGUGUUUAUGACCAUUGUACCCAACUGGGAUUCCAAGGUGCCAUCGUGUUCUAUCAUUGUGUUGGCUCCGUCGCUCAUCGUGUUGACCACCCUGAUGGUACCAGUCUCAUCUCCACUCGCCCUCACCAUGGUACCCGAAUCAGUUUCAUCUUCCUCUAAUUCAGAGAUCUUGACAGAGACAGAUGGAAACCAGCAACGUUUUAUUUUAUGCCCUUA
rnacentral:lncRNA from 1 species